UGUGUGGGGGGGCGGGGGGGUUGUAAUGUCAGACAAUGCAGAUUCAUUUACACAAAUGUACAUCAUAAAAUCUUUGGGCAUAUUUUCUAUAUCAGUUAUAAAUAUUUUAAUCAUGCAAACAUUACUUGUAAAGCAAUUCCUAAUAUUUUGAUCAGAAUUUAACUGAAGAUGUUGGUUCGGUCAACAUUAUUCUUAUUCGCCGUGUUCUGCAGAGAAUGGUGAAGCUGAUACGUUUAUAUGUGCUGCAUUACGAGUAAAUAUAACAAUUUAUUACAAAUUAAGAACUGUCAUAAUGCAUGGGAAAAGAAAAGAAAGAAUAAUCAUCAACACAUGAAUCUUUCGCUAGUUUAGCGAUAGCAAUGCUAACGCAAGACUGUCUUUGGAAGUUUGCAGGCUUUGUUUUUUUUUUUUCUUUCGCUUGCAAAUAAAAUGUUAAAAUUUUAAUCAAAUAAAUUAUAUUGUAAAUGUCUGUAAACGUUAAUGAUGGUUAAAUUCUCGCAGGUAACUGAUUGUGUCGCUUCUUUGAAACGUUUGAUCUGAUUUGUUCUACAUUGUGUUCAAAAGAUAACAGUAGCUAUUUCACUAUUUUAAUUAUGACUAAAACUCAUAGUUAUGACUUCCUGCUAGGCUUUUACUUGAUCUUUUUUGGCAGAAAUGUUGUUCCGCAUGUAUGGGUUGUAUUAGGAAUCUAUAGAAACUUAAAGAACCAACCUAGAUUAGUAAUAGACCAAGUUUCAGAUUUGGAGCAGAAAUGAGAGUUUCUAUCCAGGAUUAGCUUGUUCUUCAACACGUUUGCUAAAGUCAACUCUACUUAGCUAACUUAGCUAACUAAGUUAGCUAAGUAGCUAACUUAGCUUCUUAACCCUGAGUGAGGUUCUAGCUCUGGUCGUCAGGGAAAAGGCUUACAUUCGACCUAGUUAGUAGAUAUAAAAACUCAGCUUAUAUUUCAAUAAUGUUUUAUCCCAUAAUCAAAGUCUAAUGGUCUUUUGUCUCAUUUUUAACUUAAUACAAAGAAGAUGUACCAUCAUUGCACUAAUCACCAUUUUAAAACUGGUUGUAAUUUGAUCAAAAUACUCUCGGUGUGAAACUGUGUAAAUUGCUCCACUGAUUUUUACGGUUAAUUUUUAAACUCAUUUUAUUAUUGUAAAAGUCUGCCAUGUUGAAAAGAAACAAGCAUGUCUAUGUGCUGAAACUCUGGUCAGUGUUUUCUCUGAUUAGUUAAAUACGUCUGACUGGUCUGAGUGAGACAAAUUAGAAGUAAUUAUUGGACUUCACAGCAGUGGGAGCCUGUGCUCAGCAGAGUGUGUGUGGGUGUGUGUCCUCAUCCCUGAUCGUUGCGCAUUACUUUCCUCUGAACGAUUUAAUAUUUCAGAUUAACCGCAGGGCGACGAUUGCUGUAUGCCUCUGAUUGAAAACAGAAAAGUGGACUGGCACAGAACCAUUGUCCAUGAUGGUGUUGAUCUUAUGUAAAUCAUUUACAUCCUGCUGCUGUUUCUCACAUACUGAAUGCUAAUAAAGCAUAACCACCACAG